CCUGCCCAGAGAAGUACUGUAGGUAUGUGCUGUGUCACAUGUACAUUAGUAGAUGGCAGAGAGGAACGAGACUAUGUCUAUGAGAUGCUCAAUAUUCUAACCUAUGAAUGUCUGAAUGACUAACAGCCUAACAUU